AACGAACGCUGGCGGCAGGCUUAACACAUGCAAGUCGAACGGUUGUAGCAAUACAGCAGUGGCAGACGGGUGAGUAACACGUGGGAACCUUCCUAGGGGUACGGAACAACUCAGGGAAACUUGAGCUAAUACCGUAUACGUCCGUGAGGAGAAAGUUUUAACGCCCCUAGACGGGCCCGCGUAGGAUUAGGUAGUUGGUGAGGUAACGGCUCACCAAGCCUACGAUCCUUAGCUGAUCUGAGAGGAUGAUCAGCCACACUGGGACUGAGACACGGCCCAGACUCCUACGGGAGGCAGCAGUGGGGAAUCUUGGACAAUGGGCGCAAGCCUGAUCCAGCCAUGCCGCGUGAGUGAAGAA
rnacentral:rRNA from 1 species